rnacentral:rRNA from 1 species
GGGCCGCACGCGCGCUACACUGACGGAGCCAGCGAGUUGACCUUGGCCGAGAGGUCUGGGAAAUCUUGGGAAACUCCGUCGUGCUGGGGAUAGAGCAUUGCAAUUUUUGCUCUUCAACGAGGAAUUCCUAGUAAGCGCAAGUCAUCAGCUUGCGUUGAUUACGUCCC